rnacentral:rRNA from 1 species
GACGAACGCUGGCGGCGUGCUUAACACAUGCAAGUCGAACGGAAAGGCCCUGCUUUUGUGGGGUGCUCGAGUGGCGAACGGGUGAGUAACACGUGAGUAACCUGCCCUUGACUUUGGGAUAACUUCAGGAAACUGGGGCUAAUACCGGAUAGGAGCUCCUGCUGCAUGGUGGGGGUUGGAAAGUUUCGGCGGUUGGGGAUGGACUCGCGGCUUAUCAGCUUGUUGGUGGGGUAGUGGCUUACCAAGGCUUUGACGGGUAGCCGGCCUGAGAGGGUGACCGGCGACAGUGGGACUGAGAGACGGCCCAGACGCCUACGGGAGGCAGGAGGGGGGAAGAUUGCACAAUGGGCGGAAGCCGGAUGCAGCAACGCCGCGUGCGGGAUGACGGCCUUCGGGUUGUAAACCGAUUUCGCCUGUGACGAAGCGUGAGUGACGGUAAUGGGUAAAGAAGCACCGGCUAACUACGUG